rnacentral:lncRNA from 1 species
UGAGAAUUAAUUAAAAGCACAGUUGGUUUGUUUAAGCACAGACAAUCAAAUAUGAUUUAAUUGAUAUCUUACUAUAAGAAUUAAGGUCUUUUCCAAUGCACCAACACGUUGCCAAAAAUCCUUAUAAACGUCACGGAAGGUUACAGCGACGUCGUGCAUGACGUCGGCAGAUAUGUCGCAAAAAGCCCAUCAGGGAUACUUUUCACGAUGGAUCUUGUGCCAACAACGACAAAACUUUUUCCAGUGCACCAUUCAGUAUGUUGCAUAAGGCUUUCACGACAUCUGCGUCAGAAAAGGUUUUUUAUUAUUUUUUAUUAUAUUCAGUCUUUUUUAUUUUAUUAUUAUAUUUUUAUUAUUUAUUUUAGUAAGGCUCAACGUAAUAAAAUUUUUAGUAAAAUGAUUAAAAUGAAAAUAUUAUUCAUUAUAAAAUGAUAAAUGAAAUAAUAUGUUCAAUACAAAAAAACAAUUACAUAAUUCAAAACAUUACAUUAAAAAAAAAUUGAAAUCUAAUGCUCUAGUACAUUGUAGGUACAGAUGUCAAACCUACAAAUGACAUAAAAGUAUAGUUAGAAUAUCACAUAUGGAAAGUUAAACAAAUUAAAUAUUAAAAAAGUGCGUACCCAAGUGAUCACGAGCCUCUUUGUGCUUGACUCAUCUCCUCGAGCAUCUUCUUCAUCUCUUCCAUUUUUCAUGCAUGAUCUGCUAUUUGUCGAUCUCAAUCCUCCUCCCCCAGGUGUUAUUCUUGGAGCAUUCGGUUAGCGUUUUCAAGGCUCACUCUUAGUUUGCUAACCUCUGUUAUGUGUGUCUGGUAGCCAUACAUACUAAAAGAAGAAGAUGAAGCAACAAUCCUAUACUAGGGUUUUGGGCCCCAACCAAGACCUUUUGAC